AUUGAACGCUGGCGGCAGGCCUAACACAUGCAAGUCGAACGAGUGGCGGACGGGUGAGUAAUGUCUGGGAAACUGCCCGAUGGAGGGGGAUAACUACUGGAAACGGUAGCUAAUACCGCAUACCAUCGGAUGUUCCCAGAUGGGAUUCGCGAGUAGGUGGGGUAACGGCUCACCUAGGCGACGAUCCCUAGCUGGUCUGAGAGGAUGACCAGCCACACGGGAACUGAGACAAGGUCCAGAAUCCUACGGGAGGCAGCAGUGGGGAAUAUUGCACAAUGGGCGCAAGCCUGAUGAAGCCAUGCCGCGUGUAUGAAGAAGGCAUUCGGGUUGUAAAGUACUUUCAGCGAGGAGGCGUUACUCGCAGAAGAAGCACCGGAUAACUCCGUGCCAGCAGCCGCGGUAAUUC
rnacentral:rRNA from 1 species